AUCCAGCUGACGAAUCCCAAAUAGGACGAAAUGCCACCCUGGAU
rnacentral:hammerhead_ribozyme from 1 species